rnacentral:rRNA from 1 species
ACGGAAGGCAGCAGUGGGGAAUAUUGGGCAAUGGGCGCAAGCCUGACCCAGCAACGCCGCGUGAAGGAUGAAGGUCUUCGGAUUGUAAACUUCUUUGAUCAGGGACGAAUAAAUGACGGUACCUGAGGAACAAGUCACGGCUAACUACGUGCCAGCAGCCGCGGUAAUACGUAGGUGACAAGCGUUAUCCGGAGUUACUGGGUGUAAAGGGCGUGUAGGCGGUUUGGCAAGUCAGAAGUGAAAUUCCCGGGCUUAACUUGGGCGCUGCUUCUGAAACUGCUUAACUUGAGUACUGGAGAGGAUAGUGGAAUUCCUAGUGUAGCGGUAAAAUGCACAGAUAUUAGGAGGAACACCGGUGGCGAAGGCGGCUAUCUGGACAGUAACUGACGCUGAGGCGCGAAAGCACGGGGAGCAAACAGGAUUAGAUACCCUGGUA